UUCUGACGAAAGUAUUCGAAUAGUUGUAUAGUAACUUGUAUAGUAUCGUAAUGUCUAUUGUAACGUGUCAUACGACGAGUCUUAUACGGAACAUUAUAUGGAAGAACGUUAACAUUGUAACGAGACUCGAACUGUCGCGAUUAUAUUCGUAAGAUUGGAAAGAAAUUUGAAAAUGAACAUAGAAACUACAAGAUGCAUAGUGCAAGAGAUCAUAAAAAUAUCGAACUGCUGAGAGAGAGAGAGAGAGAGAGAGAAAGUCGAAAUUUUAUUUUUCUGCGACUAAGUAUAAUAUCGCGGAAAAGUGAAUGUGAAAAAUUGACGAUCAGAAAAAUGAUUACCGUAUUACGAUAAAUUCGUUGAAUGUUCUUUAAGCUUUUUAUAAUACGACGUAAAACGAUACUGAGAAGAUUCUAUUGUGAAAAGCUCCGCUUGCAUAGUAAACACCGUGAGUCACAUGCGUCCCACGUGAUACGCUGUUUUCUUACGAAUCGUCGACAUUCGCGUACGCUUUUCGAUAAACGUCAAUAUUUUCAUGAAAAAGAAAAAACUUAUGUUCAAAGAAAAGAAAAUAUCGGAAGAAAAAUAAGGAGAUUGGAAAGUUGGAGGAAUUCUUUUUGAAACGUUUCGCGGUUCAAGUGUGCCGCUUAAACAUCGUGAAUAUCAGACAUUGUGGUCACAGUAUGCUUGCAAAGCACACCAAGGUUUAGAUUACCAUUUCCUAUAAACUUUGCUGCGUUUUGUAAUACUGAGACACUUCGUGACACAUAGAGGAAUACUGAAACGUCGGUUCAGCGGUUGCACGACGGGUUCGCCAGUGGAACAAUAGAAGCAAAGAUGUAAAGAUUAGAAAUCUACUUUUGUGUUAACCGUAUUAAAUAACUGAAUUGGUUGCGAUCAACAUUUCUAGAUAGAUAAAAAUUCGAAAAAUAUUUAACAGUUGACUUGGUCGUAAGAAAAUUCCGAGGAAAUUGUUAAAUGAUAAAUAACUUGUAUAAAAUCGUGUUUCAAAGAUAGACUGAACGCAUUCGCUACUAAAAAGAAUAAAAAAUUAUUAAACUUAUUUUAACGCGCUAUCUGUUGCUUUUUUGUUUCUUUCAAUUUAAGUCUCACUUUCUCGAAGUGCGCAGAACCAAAAACGCAAUAAUUGCGCCACGCAACGUUAUUUAUAGAUAGCGAAUAAAUUGCAUAAUUAGAUAAUUGAAGCGGCGCAAUGUAUGCAUCGAUAGCGACGAAAAUAUUCCAAAGUCGUCGCAGAAACAACAAGAAAUUAUACGAAAUAAUAAAAUUCUUCCUUAACGUCUAGUUGUAGCUAAAAUUACGACUUACGCGUGAAUUUAUAUAUUGUAGUAACUUCAUGCUACGCUGCAGGGUUGGAAUAAAACGAUGACUUCACGAUUGUUUCUUUAUCAUUGAUGAUUUGAUUUUUUAGAGGAAUCUGGUUGUAAUAUAGACGCAAUAUCAUUACAUACGUUUGCAACGAACAUGUGAAUAAUAAAGUGUAUGCAAGAGCUACUUGCAUUUCUAUUCAGGACAUUUCUGUUUCAUAUUCAGAACGUAGAAUGCUCUAUUAUAUCAAAGGGUUCUAAUGAAACGCUAUUGUCUGCAAUUUGAACGAACACGUGUUCUAAGAAAUAAUUCGAUCGAUCACGUAUGUACGUACGUAUCUCUGUCGUUAAUAUAACCAAGAAUAGGCAAUCUGUUGCUAUAGAAAAAUCAGCAUCACGGGGCUAAUUUUACCACGAAGGCUCCUUCGAGAACUAAGGAUACCACGCUAAAACGUUCUAAAUUAUAUAGCAACUUAUGAUCGUAAUUUUUCAUUCUUUCACGUCGCUAAUAAUCCAUGCUAAUUGAUGCAAAUGAUGACUAUAAAUAAUGAAAAAUAAAAAUAAAAAGGAAUGUCUACAAAUUUACUAACAACUGGAAAAUUACGAAUCCUUUCUUCGGUAUUGAAACUUGGCGUAUGUGUUUGAAAUUCACGAUACGUGCAUCGCCAAACAAAAUAUAGAAAAUCAUCCUUGUACAAUACUUUUCUGCAACAAAGCCUCCUCUAUCUGAUCCUACAAAAUGAAAUUCCGUCGUUUCCUGCUGAAUAAUCGGGGGCAACAUCGACGAGACAAAUCUGUUGCACGAUCAAACAUUGAAUAAUUCAACUGGAGUUUAUCCUUGGUCGGUGUCUAUGACGAGCGCGUUAUGUCACGCGAAAAUAUAUUGCGCGGCCGGACAUACUAAUACAAGAAUCGUCAUUACGACGCACCCCGUGGGAACAGACAGCCGGUAUCUAUGCAAAUGCUUGCGAAACUACCAAAAGCCUGACGAAUUUCUCACGAGGUGAAUCGUAAGGGAAGCCAACCUCUUAUACAGCUGUUCCUUGUUAGCCAUGGCAAUUAGCGAGAACGAACGGAAAUUCGGCGACGUGGAUCGCACGCAUCAGCGACUCAGGUGGCGUCGAGACCAAGGGGAAGACGCAACGUGACCACGGCUCGAAUAAUAAACUUUCCGAUUGCACGGCAGUCCACUGUACUACCAUCUGGAAGGACAUACUUACGUAGCAUAAUUUUUGAUAUCGACCGAACGUUUACUAUGGUGUGGCGCUCCUCUGUCCCACGCCAUUCUAUUGGCUUGGCAACUAAGUGAUCGCGGAUUUUGUCGAUACCGCCUAAUGACAAGAUCCGCGAUCUCUUAGUUGCCAAUCCAACAUUUACACCGAGCUAUAAUCAGAAAAAUGGCGUAACUCUCUAUAAUUGAAAUUUUAUUUCUUUAUGAGAAUAAAAAUGAUUUUAAUAAUAUAUAUUAUAAAAUAAAUUAAUACAA